rnacentral:tRNA from 1 species
GGGCGGUUAGCUCAGCGGAAGAGCAUCGGUCUUACAAGCCGGGGGUCGCAGGUUC